UACGUAGGGUGCGAGCGUUAAUCGGAAUUACUGGGCGUAAAGCGUGCGCGGGCGGUUUUGUAAGCCGGAUGUAAAAUCCCCGGGCUCAACCUGGGAAUGGCAUUCGGGACUGCAAGGCUGGAGUGCGGCAGAGGAGACUGGAAUUCCUGGUGUAGCAGUGAAAUGCGUAGAUAUCAGGAGGAAUACCGAUGGCGAAGGCAGGUCUCUGGGCUGACACUGACGCUCAUGCACGAAAGCGUGGGGAGCAAACAGG
rnacentral:rRNA from 1 species